GUGUGUUCGUGGCUCGGAUCAGCCUUCCACGUCAUCCUCCUGCCUCAGCUUACCCCAGUCCUGGGAUUACAGACUUUAGGGAGUCAUGAUUAAAAAUAUAUAAAUAGCCAGACUGGUUGCACAUACGUGUGAUUCCAGUGCUCACAAGGCAGAGAUGGGAAGAUCAAGACUUAAUUUGAGGCUAGCCUGAUCUACAUAACAAGAUGCAGACCGGGCAGGACUACAUAGUGAAACCUUGUCCCCUUCCAUCACUAAAAAAUCUCCUGAAGUUCUGUCAUUCCCCGUGGUCUACAGUUCAGGAAGCACCUGGAACAUGCGGCACCUCUGCAAUGGGAACAAGACCGGCGUCAUCAGCUUCAGAUGUGUUCUUGGAACGCUGACAGUAUUUGAAAGAGAGCCACGUCUUGUCUUUUGCAUUCUCCACGGAGUCUUCAAGUGCUGAAACACUGAGGGAAGGGCCGUGCCUAGUAGCUGUGUGUCACUAUGGACUCUGUGGUAUAGGAGAUGGGCUCUGGCNAGUUGCCUUUGAAGAUGAACCUCUUUUCCAGACAGUUUUCACACAGGGCGGUAGGAGAUUUCUUAUUGCUACACCUUCCACCCUAGCCCUGAUCCUCGCCACCAGGCCGCCCAGCCAUAUUAGCUCAGAAGAUCCAUAAAGGGGCUGGAGCCCCAGUCCCCUCCCCUCUGCUUGAAGAUGUUAUUAGUUAGAGUGGUGCUAGGAUGCAGGAAGACCUUGGGAAGGGGCACUUGGUGACUAAGCAAGAAUGGGCACGGGUAUGCUGACUCAGCACACCCAGCUUGCAGGGGAGGCUGGCUCGAGGACCACCCUCAGGUGACCUUGGAGGUCUGCAGGCUCAGCUCCCGAAUUGCCUAGACCCAUACCUGUCGGGGAAAUGGUAACUUCGGAACUUAGUAGGCAGACAGUUUCUGGAGGUAACAUAGAGACAUGAAGGGGUACACUGAGCUGCUCCCCAAGGGAGCCCCAGGCAAAGGUCACAGCCCUUUUCGCCUAUGGCUGAGUUCUGGGUCCCACCAAGGAUAGAACUCCCCUUCCUUGUCAUCUAUGAAAAUGUCUUGAUGUCUCUAAAUCCCAAGUUCCCCUAUGGCCACAGCCCUGCUUCUAACCUUCUUCUAAAGCAAGUACGGUAAGAGAUGGAGAUGUCGCUCAAUUGGUAAGGUGCUUGCCUAGCAUGCACAGAGAAGCCCUGGCACCCUUUUGCAAUUCUUCAGAAACCAGGUGUGGUGGAGCAUCUUGUAAUCCCAGUACUUGGGAACAUGUGGGCAGGCCACAUCCAAAUCUGUUGUCUCCAGUAUACCGGACUCUGGCUCUGGAAAUUAGUUGCUAGGAUGUAAUCUGGGCUGAGUCUCUAGGACAGCGUCUCCAGUUGGACCUAGAAUGACUGCCCCGAGCCACAUUCAACAAGAAAUAGCACAAAGGGGUAGAAGAGACAGAGGUGGAGAAAGUGCAGGCUCUGAAGGGACAGAUGGAAGGUAAUCCAGGUUCAUUCUAAAGCGGGCAGGGCUUCCAGGGGCCUUCUCAAGGCAUCCGUCUAGAGACCUGCAGAUUUGCACCCUUGCUGCUCUUGGCAGCACACACCUGUAAUCCCAGCAAGGCAGGGCACUCAAGAGUUCAAAGUCAUCCUUGGCUACAAAGUGAGUGUGAGACUAGCCUGGGUAUCAUAAAUGAAGUCCUUCCUCAAAACAAACAAACAAACAAAAGCUACUUAGGCCCCGGGCUGUGUUUCUCAUUGCCCUACUCCCUGGUCUGAGGUCACCAGCAGGGCUCCCAGCUGUUCCUUUGAGCCAGCUGUGUCUUCAUUGAGGUCCCUGACUGGCAUUCUGUCAUCCCCCAUCUGUGUGAGAGGAUCUCNNNNNNNNNNNNNNNNNNNNNNNNNNNNNNNNNNNNNNNNNNNNNNNNNNNNNNNNNNNNNNNNNNNNNNNNNNNNNNNNNNNNNNNNNNNNNNNNNNNNNNNNNNNNNNNNNNUAAGCAGCCCGAUUUCUGGACUCUGUGGCCCUUUAAAAAUCCUGCUGCUUCUACAAUCUCUUCUUUAGCCUGCCCAAGCCUCUCUAAUGCUUUACAGGAACAUGNGUGCCCGUGAGAGACAUGAGCUAAGGCAAUGAGAAGCUGUGACGCAGAUUCUGACACCAGCCCUCAGUACAUACCUUGUGCGCCCCACAUGGUAUAAGGUCCAGGUGCUAAGGCCAGUUUGCUCACCGGCAAAGUGAGUCUCAGCCUGUAAAGAGAACAGGAAUGUGCCUCCAGAGAGAAAAAAAGAACACAUGAAGAUGAAAUCCGGGCUUGGGGGCAAAAAGGAAACAUUUAAAUGUGUACCUUGUGAUAGGAUUACACUCCCCGCCCCACCUUCACCAGAUGAGAUGACAGUACUUACGUAAGGUACUGUAUGUAGAUUGAACUCUGGACCUCACACUUUCUGGAAAGUGCUCUCCCACUAAGCCACACCCCCAGCCCCUCACUGGGGGAUUCUGGGCAGGUGCUCUACUGCUGAAUCAUGUCCCCAACUCUUUUUUGACUUGAUUUUGAGACAAGGUCUUACUGAGUUGCCUAGGCUGGCCUGAAUCUCACUCUGUAGCCCAGGCUGGCCUUGGACUCACAUUUUUCCCCCUGCUUAGCCUGCUGAGCCCCUGGGAUCAUAGACUUGCCUUGUUAUACCCAUUUGCUGCUGCAGCUAAUACCUUUAAACCUGUCUUCCCCCACCCCAGAAAACCUUCCUAGCUUAGUAUUGUCUUAAAUCCAGUGAAGAGAACAGCAGCUUUUCCCUGUUCCUCCACAUGAGGGCGCUACACCGCUCAGCCAUGGGGUGAUGUGUUCAAGCCUCUCCCACAACCUUUAUGGGUGCAUUUCUUUUCUGUGUGUUCUCUAAUGAGAAGCACUGGGGCAUCUCUGCAUGGUUUUUCUUGCCAGUUUCUCUUGUAGCUCUCUCUCCCAGCAGACAGCCACAUUCAGCACACCCCUCACUCGUGNACUGCCAUGGCCGUCCGUUCCUUGUGACCAGCCAGAUGACUUAGAUAAUAGGGGAGUUUGAAAUGAAUGAGCUGAUACUGUCUGUAGGUUAGGAUUCUGACCAAAGGGUCUUCGAGGCUCUAGGGGAAGGGAUUAAUUGAAAUACCUUCCUGAGCAUAGGGCUUUUCUCCAGUGUGAAUUCUCUGACGUUGAACGAGUUUUGUGAAUCUUNAAAGCCCUCACGUGGUCACUGUAGUUGGUAGAUUUCUGUUGUGCAGAAGUAGCCAGGGUGCUUGGACGCUGGCUGACUCCUCCCACACCCUCGGGACUCUCUCUCAGGUGAAUGGUACAGCAGUGUUAAGCAGGUCCAGAGCCUCUAGGAAAACUGCUUUGUGUUCCUAACAGUCGAUAUUGGUUCCUGCUGUUACAACUGUUACAACGUUAAAUAAAUAAACUUGAUCCAGACUC
rnacentral:lncRNA from 1 species